CACGGUGGAAGGGAGAAUAAUGAGACGAAGGAUGCAGAAGAGAGCGGUCCUGUGCUCAUACUGAUGUCCAUUUAUGCUCAAGAUCACAGAGCUGCAAAGUACCUAAGCCAGGAGGAUUUAGAUUCAGGCCUCUCACUGUUGUGGCCUCUCCCGUUGCGGAGCACAGGCUCCGGACACGCACGCUCAGCGGCCAUGGCUCACGGGCCCAGCCGCUCCGCGGCAUGUGGGAUCCUCCCGGACCGGGGCACGAACCCGUGCCCCCUGCAUCGGCAGGCAGACUCCCAACCACUAAGCCACCAGGGAAGCCCGAAUUUUAUUUUUUAUAGU